rnacentral:rRNA from 1 species
UCGAGAAAACUUUGCAAUGUGCGAAAGCACGACAAGGUUAAUCCGAGUGGUUUCUGCUAAAGAAACCUUUUGUCAGUCCUAGAAACACUAACGAAUAAGGGGUGGGCAAGUUCUGGUGUCAGCCGCCGCGGUAAAACCAGCACCUCAAGUGGUCAGGAUGAUUAUUGGGCCUAAAGCAUCCGUAGCUCGUUUUGUAAGUUUUCGGUUAAAUCCAUGCGCUUAACGUAUGGGCUGCCGGGAAUACUGCAUAACUAGGAAGUGGGAGAGGUAGACGGUACUCGGUAGGAAGGGGUAAAAUCCUUUGAUCUAUUGAUGACCACCUGUGGCGAAGGCGGUCUACCAGAACACGUUCGACGGUGAGGGAUGAAAGCUGGGGGAGCAAACCGGAUUAGAUACCCCUGUAGUCCCUGAGCGGGCUGGCAAGGCGCAU